UGGUAGAUGGAGGUUUAAUCAUAUUUAGGUGGUUUAAUCAUAUUUAAUAACUUUGAUAGGUAGAUGGAGGUUUAAUCAUAUUUAGGAGGUUUAAUCAUAUUUAAUAACUUUGAUAGGUAGAUGGAGGUUUAAUCAUAUUUAGGAGGUUUGAUCAUAUUUAAUAACUUUGAUAGGUAGAUGGAGGUUUAAUCAUAUUUAGGAGGUUUAAUCAUAUUUAGGAGGUUUGAUCAUAUUUAAUAACUUUGAUAGGUAGAUGGAGGUUUAAUCAUAUUUAGGAGGUUUAAUCAUAUUUAAUAACUUUGAUAGGUAGAUGGAGGUUUAAUCAUAUUUAGGAGGUUUAAUCAUAUUUAAUAACUUUGAUAGGUAGAUGGAGGUUUAAUCAUA